rnacentral:tRNA from 2 species
GGAGAGAUCGCAUAAUGGUAGUGCAGCGGUCUUGAAAACCGCCGUCCGUAAGGAUAUGCAGGUUCGACUCCUGUUCUCUCCGCCA